GAUGAACGCUAGCUACAGGCUUAACACAUGCAAGUCGAGGGGAAACGAUAGAGAAAGCUUGCUUUUUCUAGGCGUCGACCGGCGCACGGGUGAGUAACGCGUAUCCAACCUGCCCACCACUUGGGGAUAACCUUGCGAAAGUAAGACUAAUACCCAAUGACGUCUCUAGAAGACAUCUGAAAGAGAUUAAAGAUUUAUCGGUGAUGGAUGGGGAUGCGUCUGGUUAGCUUGUUGGCGGGGUAACGGCCCACCAAGGCGACGAUCAGUAGGGGUUCUGAGAGGAAGGUCCCCCACAUUGGAACUGAGACACGGUCCAAACUCCUACGGGAGGCAGCAGUGAGGAAUAUUGGGUCAAUGGACGAGAGUCUGAACCAGCCAAGUAGCGUGCAGGAUGACGGCCCUAUGGGUUGUAAACUGCUUUUAUAAGGGAAUAAAGUGAGUCUCGUGAGACUUUUUGCAUGUACCUUAUGUAAUAAGG
rnacentral:rRNA from 1 species